CAGCAGUGGGGAAUUUUCCGCAAUGGGCAAAGUGUGACGGAGCUGACCGCGUGAGUGAAGAAGGCCUUCGGGGUGUAAACAUCUUUUAUAGGGGAGGAAGUUUAUUGACGUUACCCUAUGAAUAACACCGGGCAAACCUCCUAACUCUGUG
rnacentral:rRNA from 1 species